UGGUAGCGCAGCUAACGCGUGAAGYUGACCGCCUGGGGAGUACGGUCGCAAGAUUAAAACUCAAAGGAAUUGACGGGGACCCGCACAAGCGGUGGAUGAUGUGGAUUAAUUCGAUGCAACGCGAAAAACCUUACCUACCCUUGACAUGUCUGGAAUCCCGAAGAGAUUUGGGAGUGCUCGCAAGAGAACUGGAACACAGGUGCUGCAUGGCUGUCGUCAGCUCGUGUCGUGAGAUGUUGGGUUAAGUCCCGCAACGAGCGCAACCCUUGUCAUUAGUUGCUACGAAAGGGCACUCUAAUGAGACUGCCGGUGACAAACCGGAGGAAGGUGGGGAUGACGUCAAGUCCUCAUGGCCCUUAUGGGUAGGGCUUCACACGUCAUACAAUGGUCGGGACAGAGGGUAGCCAACCCGCGAGGGGGAGCCAAUCCCACAAACCCGAUCGUAGUCCGGAUUGCAGUCUGCAACUCGACUGCAUGAAGUCGGAAUCGCUAGUAAUCGCGGAUCAGCAUGUCGCGGUGAAUACGUUCCCGGGUCUUGUACACACCGCCCGUCACACCAUGGGAGUGGGUUUCACCAGAAGUAGUUAGCCUAACCGCAAGGGGGGCGAUUACCACGGUGGGAUUCAUGACUGGGGUGAAGUCGUAACAAGGUAACCAAGGGCGAA
rnacentral:rRNA from 1 species